rnacentral:rRNA from 1 species
UACGUAGGGUGCGAGCGUUUAAUCGGAAUUACUGGGCGUAAAGCGUGCGCAGGCGGUUGGUUAAGUCUGAUGUGAAAGCCCCGGGCUCAACCUGGGAAUGGCAUUGGAAACUGGCUGGCUAGAGUGUGGCAGAGGGGGGUGGAAUUCCGCGUGUAGCAGUGAAAUGCGUAGAGAUGCGGAGGAACACCGAUGGCGAAGGCAGGUCUCUGGGCACUUACUGACGCUGAGGAGCGAAAGCGUGGGGAGCAAACAGG